GUGCUCACUUCAGCAGCACAUAUACUAAAAUCGGAUACAGAGAAGAUUAGCAUGGCUCCUGCUCAAGGAUGACACAAAAAUUUAUGAAGCACUCCAUAUUUUU
ensembl:snRNA U6 U6 spliceosomal RNA